rnacentral:miRNA from 1 species
AUCAACGAAAAUUUAAUUU